UACCUGUUUGUUGCAGGCAUAUUUCCUUUAGGCGUGCCAGGCAUACUUCGUAAAGAGCUUGCGUCUUCGCGGUCAUCAAGAACGUGGCAACUUGAAUAGAAAUUCCGUGGGUUUUGCCAUGAACACUUGCCAACUGAUAAUACCCUCUUGGUGUGCUGUGGAAGGUUGCAUCCAUAUGGGCAGACCAAGCUUCCACUAACGCCGGCAACGCUCCAACAUUGAUGAAAAUCAAAGCGUGUUCAUUCCCUGCAGUGACACGACCAAAAAAGAACCAAUGUUCCCCAUUCAAAUCCAUGCUGCAUGAUUUCAAUAAUAGAAAGGGAUCCUGGGGUUCGUCUCUCUCCGCGCCCGAUAUAUCGUCGCUCUAAUUUCCUGGAAUGGGCAUGGAGGAGGGCCAGGAAACCUUAGAGAAGUAAUUAAGUAACAUUAAGUAGCGGAUUAUCCUACAUCUACGUAGGUUGUAGUGUUUAGGUUGGUUAUCACAAUUAGCUUGUGGGAUGGGUGACUACAUUAGACAGAAGGUACGUUGUUCCCCCGUAAAUCAGUUAUUUGAUUAAUGUUCAAACUUAAUGUUAAAUCCUCCCAUCCACACAGUUACAGAUUUCUAGUCAUUUCUAGUCAUUAAAAAAAUAUUACCUUCUCAAUGCCUCCAAAUAAAUAGCAUGCGGCCGGAUAUUU